UGGGGAAUCUUGCACAAUGGGCGAAAGCCUGAUGCAGCAACGCCGCGUGCGGGAAGACAGCCCUAGGGUUGUAAACCGCUUUCAGCAGGGGAAGAAACUGACGGUACCUGCAGAAGAAGAUGCGGCCAACUACGUGCCAGCAGCCGCGGUGACACGUAGGCAUCAAGCGUUAUCCGGAUUUAUUGGGCGUAAAGAGCUCGUAGGCGGUUCGGUAAGUCGGGUGUGAAAACUCUGGGCUCAACCCAGAGAGGCCACUCGAUACUGCUGUGACUCGAGUGCAGUAGGGGAGCAGGGAAUUCCUGGUGUAGCGGUGAAAUGCGCAGAUAUCAGGAGGGAACACCAGUGGCGAAGGCGCUGCUCUGGGCUGUAACUGACGCUGAGGAGCGAAAGCAUGGGUAGCAAACAGGAUUAGAUACCCUGGUAGUCCAUGCCGUAAACGUUGGGCACUAGGUGUGGGUCUCAACCAACGAGAUCCGCGCCGUCGCUAACGCAUUAAGUGCCCGCCUGGGAGUACGGUCGCAAGACUAAAACU
rnacentral:rRNA from 1 species